AGUGGCCAUAAUCGAAGCUAUGAUAAUGCGUAACAAUAUUGUAGUCAAAAAUUGGCCAAAAUGAAAUUCCUUCAUAUUGGUCACUGACCGCCUUCACAUAGGCUUUUCAGUAUUACCCAUUUAGGAAACAAAA